rnacentral:ncRNA from 1 species
UAAAUGGCGUAGAAGAGGAAGAGUACAGAGGAUUCGGCUUUCAGAGAACUGUUGGAUGGUGCGAAACAGUGAAUGAAGAAUUUGGAACUGCCCUUGGAGCUGCUGUCUGAACGAAAUAUAUUUCCAGUAGGAACAGACGGAGUACCCCACCGUUAUCAUGGGGGAGGAUAUAAGGUGUAGACCCGUAUCUGGCAGAGUGCAUGAAGUUAUUCAUGAAAAAGAGUGGUACCGCGUAGGAGAUAAUCCUUCGUCUCUUGA